rnacentral:rRNA from 1 species
AACGCUGGCGGCAGGCUUAACACAUGCAAGUCGAGCGCCCCGCAAGGGGAGCGGCAGACGGGUGAGUAACGCGUGGGAACGUACCCUUUUCUACGGAAUAACCCAGGGAAACUUGGACUAAUACCGUAUGUGCCCUUCGGGGGAAAGAUUUAUCGGAAAAGGAUCGGCCCGCGUUGGAUUAGCUAGUUGGUGGGGUAAAGGCCUACCAAGGCGACGAUCCAUAGCUGGUCUGAGAGGAUGAUCAGCCACAUUGGGACUGAGACACGGCCCAAACUCCUACGGGAGGCAGCAGUGGGGAAUAUUGGACAAUGGGCGCAAGCCUGAUCCAGCCAUGCCGCGUGAGUGAUGAAGGCCCUAGGGUUGUAAAGCUCUUUCACCGGUGAAGAUAAUGACGGUAACCGGAGAAGAAGCCCCGGCUAACUUCGUGCCAGCAGCCGCGGUAAUACGAAGGGGGCUAGCGUUGUUCGGAUUUACUGGGCGUAAAGCGCACGUAGGCGGAUCGAUCAGUCAGGGGUGAAAUCCCAGAGCUCAACUCUGGAACUGCCUUUGAUACUGUCGAUCUGGAGUAUGGAAGAGGNGAGUGGAAUUCCGAGUGUAGAGGUGAAAUUCGUAGAUAUUCGGAGGAACACCAGUGGCGAAGGCGGCUCACUGGUCCAUUACUGAC